ACGAACGCUGGCGGCGUGCUUAACCCCUGCAAGUCGCACGGAAAGGCCCUGCUUUUGUGGGGUGCUCGAGUGGCGAACGGGUGAGUAACACGUGAGUAACCUGCCCUUGACUUUGGGAUAACUUCAGGAAACUGGGGCUAAUACCGGAUAGGAGCUCCUGCUGCAUGGUGGGGGUUGGAAAGUUUCGGCGGUUGGGGAUGGACUCGCGGCCUAUCAGCUUGUUGGUGGGGUAGUGGCUUACCAAGGCUUUGACGGGUAGCCGGCCUGAGAGGGUGACCGGCCACAUUGGGACUGAGAUACGGCCCAGACUCCUACGGGAGGCAGCAGUGGGGAAUAUUGCACAAUGGGCGGAAGCCUGAUGCAGCAACGCCGCGUGCGGGAUGACGGCCUUCGGGUUGUAAACCGCUUUCGCCUGUGACGAAGCGUGAGUGACGGUAAUGGGUAAAGAAGCACCGGCUAACUACGUG
rnacentral:rRNA from 1 species